AUUGAACGCUGGCGGCAGGCCUAACACAUGCAAGUCGAGCGGAGCGGCGGACGGGUGAGUAAUACCUAGGAAUCUGCCUGGUAGUGGGGGAUAACGUGCGGAAACGGACGCUAAUACCGCAUACUAUCAGAUGAGCCUAUGUCGGAUUAGCUAGUUGGUGAGGUAAUGGCUCACCAAGGCUACGAUCCGUAACUGAUCUGAGAGGAUGAUCAAUCACGCUGCAACGGAGAGGAGGUCCCAACUCCUACGGGAGACAGCAGUGGGAAAUAUUGGACAAUGGGCAAAAGCCUGAUCCAGCCAUGCCGCGUGUGUGAAGAAGAGCUUCGGAUUGUAGAGCACUAUAAGUUGGGGAGCGUUACCGACAGAAUAAGCACCGACUAACUCUGUGCCAGCAGCCGCGGUAAUAC
rnacentral:rRNA from 1 species